UAUGGAGCACACUCUUCACCCUACCCUC
rnacentral:piRNA from 1 species